rnacentral:sRNA from 1 species
AUGGGGUCUGGCCUUGGAACCACAGCCCGUGGUCUGCACCUGCCCACCCAGGGACUAGUGCUCUUCCCACUGGAGGCCGACUUCAGGACCACCCAACACAGCCUCGCCACCUUCCCUUCCACCCUCGGCCUCCCAUCCUCAUAGAUCUAGCAUACAGUGGCUCAACUCAACUUGUGCCUCAGUCACAAGCCUCUCGGUCAUUCAGAUUGCGGGAAAUAACAGACCAAUCCUGACAUUGAUGCUGCCAGUGCCAUGAUGCUUUUGAAUACUCCCCCUGAGAUACAAGCAGGUUUUCCUCCAGGAGUGAUCCAAAAUGGAGCGCGGGUCCUGAGCCGAGGGC